UAUUUGCAGUGUAGUACUUUUAUCUAUUUAAGAAUUAUAUUUUUGGAUUUUCUAAGAGAUUUUCAAAACAAUUGGGAACGAAUCAGAGAAAAUUAAAGUGACAUUUUCGCAAUGUUUUAGUAUUUUUUAUAUCGUUUGUAUGAAAAUUAUGCAUGAAACACGAUUCGGACAGACCCCUCUAAGAGGUGACGUGCAAUAUUGCAAUUUGUAUAUUUAUCUAUUUAUUUAUU